rnacentral:rRNA from 1 species
GAUGAACGCUGGCGGCGUGCCUAAUACAUGCAAGUCGAGCGAACGGACGAGAAGCUUGCUUCUCUGAUGUUAGCGGCGGACGGGUGAGUAACACGUGGAUAACCUACCUAUAAUACUGGGAUAACUUCGGGAAACCGGAGCUAAUACCGGAUGAUAUUUUGAACCGCAUGGUUCAAAAGUGAAAGACGGUUUUGCUGUCACUUAUAGAUGGAUCCGCGCUGCAUUAGCUAGUUGGUAAGGUAACGGCUUACCAAGGCAACGAUGCAUAGCCGACCUGAGAGGGUGAUCGGCCACACUGGAACUGAGACACGGUCCAGACUCCUACGGGAGGCAGCAGUAGGGAAUCUUCCGCAAUGGGCGAAAGCCUGACGGAGCAACGCCGCGUGAGUGAUGAAGGUCUUCGGAUCGUAAAACUCUGUUAUUAGGGAAGAACAUAUGUGUAAGUAACUGUGCACAUCUUGACGGUACCUAAUCAGAAAGCCACGGCUAACUACGUG